rnacentral:rRNA from 1 species
UACGAAGGGGGCUAGCGUUGUUCGGAAUUACUGGGCGUAAAGCGCACGUAGGCGGAUAUUUAAGUCAGGGGUGAAAUCCCAGAGCUCAACUCUGGAACUGCCUUUGAUACUGGGUAUCUUGAGUAUGGAAGGGGUGAGUGGAAUUCCGAGUGUAGAGGUGAAAUUCGUAGAUAUUCGGAGGAACACCAGUGGCGAAGGCGGCUCACUGGUCCAUUACUGACGCUGAGGUGCGAAAGCGUGGGGAGCAAACAGG